UACGUAGGGUGCGAGCGUUAAUCGGAAUUACUGGGCGUAAAGGGCGCGUAGGCGGUCCUUCAAGUCAGGCGUGAAAGCCCCGGGCUCAACCUGGGAACCGCGCUUGAGACUGGCGGACUCGAGUUCGGGAGAGGAUGGUGGAAUUCCCAGUGUAGCGGUGAAAUGCGCAGAUAUCAGGAAGAACACCCGUGGCGAAAGCGGCUCUCUGGAACGGUACUGACGCUGAGGCGCGAAAGCGUGGGGAGCAAACAGG
rnacentral:rRNA from 1 species